rnacentral:lncRNA from 1 species
UCUCCUCUCGCCUCCCUUUUCUUUUGUGAUUCCAUUCCUCUCUCACGCCAAACCUCUAAUCCCUGUUUCUUUGCAGGUCCUUAAAGUACUCCAUGUCAUUGGGUCUAUUAUCCUUCCAAACCAAUAGCAAGGGGGCCCUGUUGCAACGAAAGAUGAAGCUUGGUUAUCCAAUCAUCAACCCUCGAGAGUGAGAUCAAGGAUCCUCCUCUAGAAGAAUUCCAGAAGUUCA